AGUGAACGCUGGCGGUAGGCCUAACACAUGCCAGUCGAACGGCAGCACAGUAAGAGCUUGCUCUUACGGGUGGCGAGUGGCGGACGGGUGAGGAAUACAUCGGCAUCUACUUUUUCGUGGGGGAUAACGUAGGGAAACUUACGCUAAUACCGCAUACGACCUACGGGUGAAAGCAGGGGAUCUUCGGACCUUGCGCGAUUGAAUGAGCCGAUGUCGGAUUAGCUAGUUGGCGGGGGAAAGGCCCACCAAGGCGACGAUCCGUAGCUGGUCUGAGAGGAUGAUCAGCCACACUGGAACUGAGACACGGUCCAGACUCCUACGGGAGGCAGCAGUGGGGAAUAUUGGACAAUGGGCGCAAGCCUGAUCCAGCCAUACCGCGUGGGUGAAGAAGGCCUUCGGGUUGUAAAGCCCUUUUGUUGGGAAAGAAAAGCAGCAGGUUAAUACCCCGCUGUUCUGACGGUACCCAAAGAAUAAGCACCGGCUAACUUCGUG
rnacentral:rRNA from 1 species